ACUCAAAGGAAUUGACGGGGACCCGCACAAGCAGCGGAGCGUGUGGAUUAAUUCGAUGCAACGCGAAGAACCUUACCCAGGCUUGACAUGCACGUAGUACUGAUCCGAAAGGAAAGGGACCUGCGAGGGAGCGUGCACAGGUGCUGCAUGGCUGUCGUCAGCUCGUGCCGUGAGGUGUUGGGUUAAGUCCCGCAACGAGCGCAACCCCCGUUUGUAGUUGCUUUAUCUACAGAGACUGCCGGGCGAACCCCGGAGGAAGGUGGGGAUGACGUCAAGUCCGCAUGGCCCUUACGUCUGGGGCAUCACACACGCUACAAUCGCCAAGACAAUGAGAUGCAACACCGCGAGGUGAAGCUAAUCUUUAAAGCUGGCGUCAGUACAGAUCGUAGGCUGCAACUCGCCUGCGUGAAGUCGGAGUUGCUAGUAACCGCGCGUCAGCAUAGUGCGGUGAAUACGUUCCCGGGUUUUGCACACACCGCCCGU
rnacentral:rRNA from 1 species